rnacentral:rRNA from 1 species
UGGGGAAUUUUGGACAAUGGGCGAAAGCCUGAUCCAGCAAUGCCGCGUGUGUGAAGAAGGCCUUCGGGUUGUAAAGCACUUUUGUCCGGAAAGAAAUCCUUGGCUCUAAUACAGUCGGGGGAUGACGGUACCGGAAGAAUAAGCACCGGCUAACUACGUGCCAGCAGCCGCGGUAAUACGUAGGGUGCAAGCGUUAAUCGGAAUUACUGGGCGUAAAGCGUGCGCAGGCGGUUUGCUAAGACCGAUGUGAAAUCCCCGGGCUCAACCUGGGAACUGCAUUGGUGACUGGCAGGCUAGAGUAUGGCAGAGGGGGGUAGAAUUCCACGUGUAGCAGUGAAAUGCGUAGAGAUGUGGAGGAAUACCGAUGGCGAAGGCAGCCCCCUGGGCCAAUACUGACGCUCAUGCACGAAAGCGUGGGGAGCAAAACAGGAUUAGAUACCCUGGUAGUCCACGCCCUAAAACGAUGUCAACUAGUUGUUGGGGAUUCAUUCCUUAGUAACGUAGCUAACGCGUGAAGUUGACCGCCUGGGGAGUACGGUCGCAAGAUUAAAACUCAAAGGAAUUGACGGGGUCAUAGCUGUUUCCU